CCUACGGGCGGCUGCAGUGGGGAAUAUUGCACAAUGGGCGCAAGCCUGAUGCAGCCAUGCCGCGUGUGUGAAGAAGGCCUUCGGGUUGUAAAGCACUUUCAGCGGGGAGGAAGGCGGUGAGGUUAAUAACCUCAUCGAUUGACGUUACCCGCAGAAGAAGCACCGGCUAACUCCGUGCCAGCAGCCGCGGUAAUACGGAGGGUGCAAGCGUUAAUCGGAAUUACUGGGCGUAAAGCGCACGCAGGCGGUCUGUCAAGUCGGAUGUGAAAUCCCCGGGCUCAACCUGGGAAUUGCAUUCGAAACUGGCAGGCUAGAGUCUUGUAGAGGGGGGUAGAAUUCCAGGUGUAGCGGUGAAAUGCGUAGAGAUCUGGAGGAAUACCGGUGGCGAAGGCGGCCCCCUGGACAAAGACUGACGCUCAGGUGCGAAAGCGUGGGGAGCAAACAGGAUUAGAUACCCGUGUAGUC
rnacentral:rRNA from 1 species